UGCGAACUGUGCAAACGUUAUUCGGAAUCACUGGGCUUACAGGGUGCGUAGGCGGCUUGUUAAGUAGGGUGUGAAAGCCCCCGGCUCAACCGGGGAAUUGCGCCCUAAACUGGCGAGCUGGAGUGAGAUAGGGGUGUGUGGAACUUCCGGCGGAGCGGUGAAAUGUGUUGAUAUCGGAAGGAACGCCGGUGGCGAAAGCGACACACUGGAUCUUGUCUGACGCUGAGGCACGAAAGCCAGGGAGCGAACGGG
rnacentral:rRNA from 1 species